GGUCUCCCUGUACAAAACCGCUCAACAAAGAGUCGGUGUGUGUAUCAGGGUCCCUCGUCGGGAUACAAUUCGUACAUUCUCUGUUGUGAAAUAUCAGUGUAUUGAAGACGGUGAUUCCCUGAACAUCAGCGGUGGUUCUGCAGAGGGUGUUUCUCAAGUCUCCCUUUUCCACAAAGUGUUGCCCAUUUCUGAACAACAGACCAACAUGUAUGUGUGCAACUUCAAGUCUGAACUCAAUACUGAAAGCAUAUCCGUGUACGUCCUUGACGCCAGGCUGGGACUAGGAACUCCAGGGCAAUGCUUUUCCCAGAUGUCUGUCCUGCAUGGGAACUACAUCGCAACCAGUAAUUGUUCAACAGUGUUCCAACCGUUUGAGAGACUGAACGUAACACAGGCAAUCUCCCCUGUACAUCUCCUCUAAAGGUAUCUCAAGGCUGCUAUCAGGAUUCAUUUGGCUUCUGGUCAAUGCAUCAGAACCGUUUAAUGUGACAUGUGAAACUGUGGAACGGACGACCCCAGGAGGAAUCACCACUGAAUCAACUAAUGACAGGUCUCCACCAUCCACGCCUCAACAAAUCUCAG